rnacentral:rRNA from 1 species
AUUGAACGCUGGCGGAAUGCUUUCCACAUGCAAGUCGAACGGCAGCACGGGGGCAACCCUGGUGGCGAGUGGCGAACGGGUGAGUAAUACAUCGGAACGUGCCCAGUCGUGGGGGAUAACGUAGCGAAAGCUACGCUAAUACCGCACACGAUCUAUGGAUGAAAGCGGGGGACCGUAAGGCCUCGCGCGAUUGGAGCGGCCGAUGGCAGAUUAGGUAGUUGGUGGGGUAAAGGCUCACCAAGCCUGCGAUCUGUAGCUGGUCUGAGAGGACGACCAGCCACACUGGGACUGAGACACGGCCCAGACUCCUACGGGAGGCAGCAGUGGGGAAUUUUGGACAAUGGGCGCAAGCCUGAUCCAGCCAUUCCGCGUGCAGGAUGAAGGCCCUCGGGUUGUAAACUGCUUUUGUACGGAACGAAACGGUGCUUUCUAAUACAGAGCACUAAUGACGGUACCGUAAGAAUAAGCACCGGCUAACUACGUGCCAGCAGCCGCCGUAACAC